rnacentral:rRNA from 1 species
AUGGCUCAGGAUGAACGCUAGCUACAGGCUUAACACAUGCAAGUCGAGGGGCAGCAUGAUCUGUGCUUGCACAGAUUGAUGGCGACCGGCGCACGGGUGAGUAACGCGUAUCCAACCUUCCCCUUAGUAGGGCAUAGCCCGGCGAAAGUCGGAUUAAUACCCUAUGUUUUCCAAUGAGGACAUCUGAGCUGGAAUAAAGAUCCAUCGCUAAGGGAUGGGGAUGCGUCCGAUUAGGUUGUUGGCGGGGUAACGGCCCACCAAGCCUUCGAUCGGUAGGGGUUCUGAGAGGAAGGUCCCCCACACUGGUACUGAGACACGGACCAGACUCCUACGGGAGGCAGCAGUGAGGAAUAUUGGUCAAUGGGCGAGAGCCUGAACCAGCCAAGUAGCCGUGCAGGAUGACGGCCCUAUGGGUUGUAAACUGCUUUUAUACGGGGAUAAAGUGAGGGACGUGUCCCUUAUUGUAGGUACCGUAUGAAUAAGGACCGGCUAAUUCCGUGCCAGCAGCUGC